rnacentral:rRNA from 1 species
GAAGAACGAGGGAGGCGUGCUUAACACAUGCAAGUCGAACGGAAAGGCCCUGCUUUUGUGGGGUGCUCGAGUGGCGAACGGGUGAGUAACACGUGAGUAACCUGCCCUUGACUUUGGGAUAACUUCAGGAAACUGGGGCUAAUACCGGAUAGGAGCUCCUGCUGCAUGGUGGGGGUUGGAAAGUUUCGGCGGUUGGGGAUGGACUCGCGGCUUAUCAGCUUGUUGGUGGGGUAGUGGCUUACCAAGGCUUUGACGGGUAGCCGGCCUGAGAGGGUGACCGGCCACAUUGGGACUGAGAUACGGCCCAGACUCCUACGGGAGGCAGCAGUGGGGAAUAUUGCACAAUGGGCGGAAGCCUGAUGCAGCAACGCCGCGUGCGGGAUGACGGCCUUCGGGUUGUAAACCGCUUUCGCCUGUGACGAAGCGUGAGUGACGGUAAUGGGUAAAGAAGCACCGGCUAACUACGUG